UUUCCGCAGGUGAACCUGCGGAAGGAUCAUUAUUGUAUAAUCGAGGUGCGAGGGCUGUCGCUGACCCGAAAGGUCGUGCACGCCCGAGUGCCCUCACACACAUCCAUCUCACCCCUAUGUGCACCACCGCGUGGGUCCCCCUUUGGCUUGUUCGGAGGGGGGCUUACGUUUUCACACAAACUUUGUAUGCAGUGUAGAAUGUAUUUUUUGUUUUUGCGAUCACGCAAUCAAUACAACUUUCAACAACGGAUCUCUUGGCUCUC
rnacentral:misc_RNA from 1 species